rnacentral:rRNA from 1 species
AAGCGGUGGAUGAUGUGGAUUAAUUCGAUGCAACGCGAAAACCUUACCUACCCUUGACAUGUCCGGAAUCCCGAAGAGAUUUGGGAGUGCUCGCAAGAGAACCGGAACACAGGUGCUGCAUGGCUGUCGUCAGCUCGUGUCGUGAGAUGUUGGGUUAAGUCCCGCAACGAGCGCAACCCUUAUCAUUAGUUGCUACGCAAGGGCACUCUAAUGAGACUGCCGGUGACAAACCGGAGGAAGGUGGGGAUGACGUCAAGUCCUCAUGGCCCUUAUGGGUAGGGCUUCACACGUCAUACAAUGGUCGGUACAGAGGGUUGCCAAGCCGCGAGGUGGAGCCAAUCCCAGAAAGCCGAUCGUAGUCCGGAUUGUUCUCUGCAACUCGAGAGCAUGAAGUCGGAAUCGCUAGUAAUCGCGGAUCAGCAUGUCGCGGUGAAUACGUUCCCGGGUCUU